UACUAGCGAUCUCCAUCCGGACUUCUACAAGAACCGAACUCCAUCCGAACUUCUAUAGCGAAUGGACUCCGGAUGAACUUCUACAACGGACGGGCUCCAGCAGUUGGAUUUCUACAACGGCCGACCGCCUCCAGUGUCUACCGUACCUCCACAGCCAUCAACCUUCAAUAGCAUUAGUCGGACUUCAACAAUGCCAAUCGAACUUCCAUAGGAUCCUCCAGACU
rnacentral:lncRNA from 1 species